AAGCCAGUGGCGUAGCCAGCUCGAUAAUUGGGGGGGGGGCAUAUUCAUAUAUUCGUGUUCUGCAUUAUUAGUUUCUUUUGAAAUUGAUUGUUUUUACGAUCUGUGAAUACGAAUAUAUGAAUAUGCCCCUUCCCCCACUUAUCGAGCUGGCUACGCCAGUGCCCUAAGCCUAUAGGUCUCGUUUUCCCACACAUUAUAUCCAGGCAUUACGCUAUGUUUGUAGUAAUAAGGCUUUUCAAAAAGCAUUUGAAAUUUUUAAUAACCGCAAA
rnacentral:lncRNA from 1 species